AGCUGUCCAAGUAUAAUUAGCGUAAUAAUGCAUGAUUGUGACAAAGGACACUUGCCAUGGCUAUACACCUAUAUUCCCAUAGAGAGAUUCAUCGAAAAUCUAGGGUUGACGACGUGCUGUUCCUCGCCUUGUCGGAAGCAGCUAAAUUGAAACGUCCAUAUGGUUAUGACUGCAUUUUCUGAGCUUAGAAGUACAAUAAUGAUCAGGGUACGUAGAAUCGCGAUAUGAAUUAUCGCUUGGAAUAUUGUGUUUAAUUUCGAUUAUUUUUACAGGUAGAGUGCAUGGCACUGACCGAUUAUAUAGGAAAUGCAUUGUGGAUUGUGGAAUGCAUUUAUUAGUAGUGCAUAGGAAUUAAAGAUUAUGUUCGAGAGAUGGCUAGUUCCACUGGCGAAAUGCUCGGGACUGACUGGUUCAAAUGCUGGUCAAAACUUGAGUGACUGAUCAGGAAGUCUCGUGGGCUUUGAGUUCAUACACUGCGACCUUUUGCCCCUGUUAUGUUCACACGCUCAAGGGUAUCCCAAGAUUAUACAACCACACAUAUAUCAUCGAUCAUGUACACAUUUUGCUCGGUCCGUUAAGGAAAUAUGCUCCAAAUUAAACGAUGGAAUUUUUUGAAAAACAUGCACGGAUCUUUAUGUUUUGUAACGAUUUGUGGGCACUUCGUGAAUUCCUUGAAGUUACAAAAUCUAGCCUUGUAACACCGUCCGUCCCCUUCCACCAACAGAAGUGUGAACUGCCUAAAACGGCUGUGAGUCUUUUCCGGUUCGGCCACUUUCGUUUUCACAGCCAUAUAGUAUAUCCUCUAUCUCCC
rnacentral:lncRNA from 1 species